AUUUAUUAUAUGUUGGACAUGAACAGAGAGAAGUUAUUUGGAAAUAUAUUUUUUAAUUACACUGCUUCAUUUUGUUCCAAAGAUAAUCUACCUCUCCUCUCUUUAGGUACCAGGAAGUAUUAGAAAUCCAAGGCAUUGCUGCCUGGUGUGUGAAGAUAAGGUACAUGAGCUCCAGUGUCUGGAAGUACAGUACCUUUACACUACUUGGGGUCAUCCUUAUUUCUCUGAUGCUGCACUUCUGGAGAAUCCCACUUCAAAGAACAGGAGCUGGAACAAGACCCCUGGGCAUUUAAAGGCAGAGCAAAAACCAAGAGAAUAUUAAAUGCUAAUCUGGAAGGGCACUGAAGACAGUUGCCCCAGAUUGGAUGUGCUUCCUGGAAUCUGGAGAAGGAUUAAGAGGAUGUAAUUCAAAAAGCUUUCUCUGUCAAAAAACAAUUAAAGUAAGAAAAAGUGUAUG
rnacentral:lncRNA from 1 species